rnacentral:rRNA from 1 species
UACGUAGGGUGCAAGCGUUAAUCGGAAUUACUGGGCGUAAAGCGUGCGCAGGCGGCUUUGCAAGACAGAUGUGAAAUCCCCGGGCUUAACCUGGGAACUGCAUUUGUGACUGCAUGGCUGGAGUGUGGCAGAGGGGGAUGGAAUUCCGCGUGUAGCAGUGAAAUGCGUAGAUAUGCGGAGGAACACCGAUGGCGAAGGCAAUCCCCUGGGCCUGCACUGACGCUCAGGCACGAAAGCGUGGGGAGCAAACAGG